rnacentral:rRNA from 1 species
GACGAACGCUGGCGGCGUGCCUAACACAUGCAAGUCGAACGGAAAGGCCCUGCUUUUGUGGGGUGCUCGAGUGGCGAACGGGUGAGUAACACGUGAGUAACCUGCCCUUGACUUUGGGAUAACUUCAGGAAACUGGGGCUAAUACCGGAUAGGAGCUCCUGCUGCAUGGUGGGGGUUGGAAAGUUUCGGCGGUUGGGGAUGGACUCGCGGCUUAUCAGCUUGUUGGUGGGGUAGUGGCUUACCAAGGCUUUGACGGGUAGCCGGCCUGAGAGGGUGACCGGCCACAUUGGGACUGAGAUACGGCCCAGACUCCUACGGGAGGCAGCAGUGGGGAAUAUUGCACAAUGGGCGGAAGCCUGAUGCAGCAACGCCGCGUGCGGGAUGACGGCCUUCGGGUUGUAAACCGCUUUCGCCUGUGACGAAGCGUGAGUGACGGUAAUGGGUAAAGAAGCACCGGCUAACUACGUGCCAGCAGCCGCGGUGAUACGUAGGGUGCGAGCGUUGUCCGGAUUUAUUGGGCGUAAAGGGCUCGUAGGUGGUUGAUCGCGUCGGAAGUGUAAUCUUGGGGCUUAACCCUGAGCGUGCUUUCGAUACGGGUUGACUUGAGGAAGGUAGGGGAGAAUGGAAUUCCUGGUGGAGCGGUGGAAUGCGCAGAUAUCAGGAGGAACACCAGUGGCGAAGGCGGUUCUCUGGGCCUUUCCUGACGCUGAGGAGCGAAAGCGUGGGGAGCGAACAGGCUUAGAUACCCUGGUAGUCCACGCUGUAAACGGUGGGUACUAGGUGUGGGGUCCAUUCCACGGGUUCCGUGCCGUAGCUAACGCUUUAAGUACCCCGCCUGGGGAGUACGGCCGCAAGGCUAAAACUCAAAGGAAUUGACGGGGCCCCGCACAAGCGGCGGAGCAUGCGGAUUAAUUCGAUGCAACGCGUAGAACCUUACCUGGGUUUGACAUGGAUCGGGAGUGCUCAGAGAUGGGUGUGCCUCUUUUGGGGUCGGUUCACAGGUGGUGCAUGGCUGUCGUCAGCUCGUGUCGUGAGAUGUUGGGUUAAGUCCCGCAACGAGCGCAACCCUUGUUCACUGUUGCCAGCACGUUAUGGUGGGGACUCAGUGGAGACCGCCGGGGUCAACUCGGAGGAAGGUGGGGAUGACGUCAAGUCAUCAUGCCCCUUAUGUCCAGGGCUUCACGCAUGCUACAAUGGCUGGUACAGAGAGUGGCGAGCCUGUGAGGGUGAGCGAAUCUCCGGAAAGCCGGUCUCAGUUCGGAUUGGGGUCUGCAACUCGACCUCAUGAAGUCGGAGUCGCUAGUAAUCGCAGAUCAGCAACGCUGCGGUGAGUACGUUCCCGGGGCU